rnacentral:misc_RNA from 1 species
GCUUCAAGUUUGGUCUGUAUAGUUAGGUUGAAUUUGUUACACAAUAGACUGUAUAUAUUAAAAAAAAAGUUGGAAAAAUAUGUCAGUAGCUCCUGCUUUCUGUUCAUAGCAGCAGUGAGUUUGUAAGAUUUCACUUUUACAUCCCAAAAAAUGAGGCAACUAGAACACAUAAUACUGAAAGAACGAAUACAUUUCAGUGGAUACAAACACGAAGGUAAAAAAAAUAAUGUAUAUUUUAAGCAUAUAGUAAUUCUUCUUCAUUAACUGUGUAUGGAGGAGGUAACAAACUCUUCGCCUUAAUGAAUGUAUCUGUACUACCAGAGGGAACUUCUGUAAUGGGAGCAUCAAGGACCUCGUCUGGAAUUUCCCCUAAUGUCUCUUCGAAGAGGGAUUUAAUUGUCGUGCAGUGCCGGAAAGCAGCAUCAACCGCACGCUUCCACACAACAUUUCUAGGCUCUGCAUGAAAUAGACCAAGCAGAGG